rnacentral:rRNA from 1 species
AUAACAUUCGGAAACGGGUGCUAAUACCGCAUAAGACCACGACAUGGCAUCAUGACGAGGUCAAAGGAGCAAUCCGCUGAGAGAGGGGCUCGCGUACCAUUAGCUAGUUGGUGGGGUAAUGGCCUACCAAGGCGACGAUGGUUAGCUGGUCUGAGAGGAUGAUCAGCCACACUGGAACUGAGACACGGUCCAGACUCCUACGGGAGGCAGCAGUGGGGAAUUUUGCGCAAUGGGGGAAACCCUGACGCAGCAACGCCGCGUGGGUGAUGAAGGCCUUCGGGUCGUAAAGCCCUGUCGGGAGGGAAGAAAUGAUUGUGAGCUAAUACCUCAUGGUCUUGACGGUACCUCCGAAGGAAGCACCGGCUAACUCCGUGCCANCAGCCGCGGUAAUACGGAGGGUGC